rnacentral:rRNA from 1 species
UACGGUAGGUGGCAAGCGUUAUCCGGAAUUGAUUGGGCGUAAAGCGCGCGCAGGUGGUUUCUUAAGUCUGAUGUGAAAGCCCACGGCUCAACCGUGGAGGGUCAUUGGAAACUGGGAGACUUGAGUGCAGAAGAGGAAAGUGGAAUUCCAGUAUGUAGCGGUGAAAUGCGUAGAGAAUAUGGAGGAACACCAGUGGCGGAAGGCGACUUUCCUGGUCUGGUAACUGACACUGGAGGCGCGAAAGCCGUGGG